UGGGCGCAGCCUGAUGCAGCCAUGCCGCGUGUGUGAAGAAGGCCUUCGGGUUGUAAAGCACUUUCAGUCGUGAGGAAGGUAGUGUAGUUAAUAGCUGCAUUAUUUGACGUUAGCGACAGAAGAAGCACCGGCUAACUCCGUGCCAGCAGCCGCGGUAAUACGGAGGGUGCGAGCGUUAAUCGGAAUUACUGGGCGUAAAGCGCAUGCAGGUGGUUUGUUAAGUCAGAUGUGAAAGCCCGGGGCUCAACCUCGGAAUUGCAUUUGAAACUGGCAGACUAGAGUACUGUAGAGGGGGGUAGAAUUUCAGGUGUAGCGGUGAAAUGCGUAGAGAUCUGAAGGAAUACCGGUGGCGAAGGCGGCCCCCUGGACAGAUACUGACACUCAGAUGCGAAAGCGUGGGGAGCAAACAGGAUUAGAUACCCUGGUAGUCCACGCCGUAAACGAUGUCUACUUGGAGGUUGUGGCCUUGAGCCGUGGCUUUCGGAGCUAACGCGUUAAGUAGACCGCCUGGGGAGUACGGUCGCAAGAUUAAAACUCAAAUGAAUUGACGGGGGCCCGCACAAGCGGUGGAGCAUGUGGUUUAAUUCGAUGCAACGCGAAGAACCUUACCUACUCUUGACAUCCAGAGAACUUUCCAGAGAUGGAUUGGUGCCUUCGGGAACUCUGAGACAGGUGCUGCAUGGCUGUCGUCAGCUCGUGUUGUGAAAUGUUGGGUUAAGUCCCGCAACGAGCGCAACCCUUAUCCUUGUUUGCCAGCGAGUAAUGUCGGGAACUCCAGGUAGACUGCCGGUGAUAAACCGGAGGAAGGUGGGGACGACGUCAAGUCAUCAUGGCCCUUA
rnacentral:rRNA from 1 species